AAGCCUAUGAUGACAAAAUUGAAUUGGAAUUACCGUCUGAAUAACUUUGAUGUAAAUUUCUUGGCUGUGGUACUGAGGCUUCAA